rnacentral:misc_RNA from 1 species
GAUGAAGAACGUAGCGAAAUGCGAUAAGUAGUGUGAAUUGCAGAAUUCAGUGAAUCAUCGAAUCUUUGAACGCACAUUGCGCCCCUUGGUAUUCCAUGGGGCAUGCCUGUUCGAGCGUCAUUUGUACCUUCAAGCUCUGCUUGGUGUUGGGUGUUUGUCUCGCCUCUGCGUGUAGACUCGCCUCAAAACAAUUGGCAGCCGGCGUAUUGAUUUCGGAGCGCAGUACAUCUCGCGCUUUGCACUCAUAACGACGACGUCCAAAAGUACAUUUUUACAUUCUUGACCUCGGAUCAGGUAGGGAUACCCGCUGAACUUAAGCAUAUCAAUAAGCGGAGGA